GAUGAACGCUGGCGGCGUGCCUAAUACAUGCAAGUCGAGCGAACGGACGAGAAGCUUGCUUCUCUGAUGUUAGCGGCGGACGGGUGAGUAACACGUGGAUAACCUACCUAUAAGACUGGGAUAACUUCGGGAAACCGGAGCUAAUACCGGAUAAUAUUUUGAACCGCAUGGUUCAACAGUGAAAGACGGUUUUGCUGUCACUUAUAGAUGGAUCCGCGCUGCAUUAGCUAGUUGGUAAGGUAACGGCUUACCAAGGCAACGAUGCAUAGCCGACCUGAGAGGGUGAUCGGCCACACUGGAACUGAGACACGGUCCAGACUCCUACGGGAGGCAGCAGUAGGGAAUCUUCCGCAAUGGGCGAAAGCCUGACGGAGCAACGCCGCGUGAGUGAUGAAGGUCUUCGGAUCGUAAAACUCUGUUAUUAGGGAAGAACAUAUGUGUAAGUAACUGUGCACAUCUUGACGGUACCUAAUCAGAAAGCCACGGCUAACUACGUG
rnacentral:rRNA from 1 species